rnacentral:rRNA from 1 species
UACGUAGGGGGCUAGCGUUGUCCGGAAUCAUUGGGCGUAAAGCGCGUGUAGGCGGCUUAGCAAGUCGGGUGUGAAAGCCCUCAGCUCAACUGAGGAAGUGCGCCCGAAACUGCUGAGCUUGAGUACCGGAGAGGAUGGCGGAAUUCCCCAAGUAGAGGUGAAAUUCGUAGAUAUGGGGAGGAACACCGGUGGCGAAGGCGGCCAUCUGGACGGUCACUGACGCUGAGACGCGAAAGCGUGGGGAGCAAACAGG